rnacentral:rRNA from 1 species
UGCGCCUUGCCAGCCCGCUCAGAAACUCAAAUGAAUUGACGGGGGCCCGCACAAGCGGAGGAGCAUGUGGUUUAAUUCGAUGAUACGCGAGGAACCUUACCUGGGCUCGAACGUAAGAUGACUGUAGGUGAAAGCUUACAUCUCUUCGGAGCAUUUUACGAGGUGCUGCAUGGUUGUCGUCAGCUCGUGCCGUGAGGUGUCGGGUUAAGUCCCAUAACGAGCGCAACCCCUACCUUUAGUUGCCAUCAGGUUAAGCUGGGGACUCUAAAGGAACUGCCUACGCAAGUAGUGAGGAAGGCGGGGAUGACGUCAAGUCAUCAUGGCCCUUACGGCCUGGGCUACACACGUGCUACAAUGGUCGGUACAAAGGGUUGCCAAGCCGCGAGGUGGAGCUAAUCCCAUAAAACCGAUCGUAGUCCGGAUCGCAGUCUGCAACUCGACUGCGUGAAGUCGGAAUCGCUAGUAAUCGUGAAUCAGAAUGUCACGGUGAAUACGUUCCCGGGCCUU